rnacentral:rRNA from 1 species
UGGCUCAGGACGAACGCUGGCGGCAGGCUUAACACAUGCAAGUCGAGCGCCCUGCUUGCAGGGAGCGGCAGACGGGUGAGUAACGCGUGGGAACGUGCCCUUUCGGUUCGGAAUAGCCCCGGGAAACUGGGUGUAAUACCGAAUACGACCUCCGGGUGAAAGAUUUAUCGCCGAAGGAUCGGCCCGCGUUAGAUUAGCUAGAUGGUGAGGUAAAGGCUUACCAUGGCGACGAUCUAUAGCUGGUCUGAGAGGACGAUCAGCCACACUGGGACUGAGACACGGCCCAGACUCCUACGGGAGGCAGCAGUGGGGAAUAUUGGACAAUGGGCGAAAGCCUGAUCCAGCCAUGCCGCGUGGAUGAAGAAGGCCCUAGGGUUGUAAAAUCCUUUCGCUAGGGAAGAUAAUGACGGUACCUAGUAAAGAAGCCCCGGCUAAUUUCGUGCCAGCAGCCGCGGUAAUACGAAAGGGGCUAGCGUUGUUCGGAAUUACUGGGCGUAAAGCGCACGUAGGCGGCCUGCCAAGUUAGGGGUGAAAUCCCGGGGCUCAACCCCGGAACUGCCUCCAAAACUGGCAAGCUAGAGGAUGUGAGAGGAGAGUGGAAUUCCGAGUGUAGAGGUGAAAUUCGUAGAUAUUCGGAAGAACACCAGUGGCGAAGGCGACUCUCUGGCACAUUUCUGACGCUGGGGUGCGAAAGCGUGGGGAGCGAACAGGAUUAGAUACCCUGGUAGUCCACGCCGUAAACGAUGAGGGCUAGUUGUCGGGCAGCAUGCUGUUCGGUGACGCAGUUAACGCAUUAAGCCCUCCGCCUGGGGAGUACGGUCGCAAGAUUAAAACUCAAA